CGUACGUAGGCGGAUUAGUAGUUAGAGGUGAAUCCCGGGGCUCAACCCCGGAACUGCCUUUAAUACUGCUAGUCUUGAGUUCGAGAGAGGUGAGUGGAAUUCCAAGUGUAGAGGUGAAAUUCGUAGAUAUUUGGAGGAACACCAGUGGCGAAGGCGGCUCACUGGCUCGAUACUGAC
rnacentral:rRNA from 1 species